CCGCGGCUCUCCCCGCCCGGCCGCCCCCGCGCAAUCCCCGCGCGUACCUGCGGCGGGCUGACCUUGGGCGGCGGCGCCGGAGCGACGGCGGCAGCUGCGGGCGGGGACAGCGCGGCCGCGGAAGGACAGGUAUUGAAAGGAGCGAACAAAGUUGAAGAAGGAUCUUUCAAUAGGCAGUCACCCCCCUGAGACACAUCUUGGCAAGAGAGAGCAUCACCUGCAGUAGCUGAGUCCUGGUGAGCUAAUCAGCAGGUUGAUUCCUGUGGGAAGAUGCCAGCACACACCCUGAGGAUGAGGAUAUCAGCAGCUGUGAGGUGAGGGACUUGGCACAAGGUCUGGAAGGGACCAGUGACACAGGAGAAGAAUUUCCAGUGGCUCAUUGUCUCCUUCUUCCCGUGUACAACCUGCACACCCAACAACUCACACACCUCAGGAUAUUUUUACCUGAAAACAAGUCCUCAGAUACCUUUCACCAUGAGAUCAUCAGAAAUAUAAUUUAGUUAUUGAUUCUGGACAAUAAACCUGAACAGAAUAAAGAGAAGUAAUCUCAGUGUUCUUUCUGAAUAUUUAAAAAUACUUUUUAAAGUGUACUUAGUAUAAACCUAUAAGUAACUUUAAUUUAUCAGUGGCUUUGUGAACAUCCGGAUAUACGUAAAAACAAUCCUGAAAAAUUACAAGAUAAAACUGUUUUCAGUUCUGAAGAAAUGCUUUUAAAGUAUUUUUUUUCCCCUAUGCCCUACUUCUCACACCUUUCUCAGGCAGAGUUAUUCAGGUUCUUCCCCAUGAAUCUUGCAUCUUAAAAGACAGAGAUGCAAUUGAUCUUUAUCACGUUCUUUUAAACACGAGGGGGCACCAGAAAGCCAGAGCAGCAAGAUAAAAACGGUUCCCGUACAAUAAAUCAGACAAAAAACCUGUUACAACUCUUGAUAGCCUUGUCAAGUGAGACAGAUUUUGAAGGAAAAAAAAAAAAAAGGAAAGCAAUGCAAUGUUUUAUCAGUCCUUCAUCUGAAAGGACUGGGAAAGUAAUCCCUGCCACAUGCAUCUUCUGCUGCCUCAUUUCUUUUACUAGUGAGAAUCUGGAUUAUUUCCCACUACAGAUGGUUCUUGAGGACGGUGGAAUCCUGUGUCCAUGGUUUUAUAAAGGAGGAAGCCAUUCUUGAAGCUAAAAGAUGCCAAAACCCCCCUAAAAUGCUAAGUUGAGACAAAGGACUGUUAGAUUUUUAAAUCCUUUUUCACAAGACCCAGGGUCAGGCACCGCCAUUCAUCCUCCUGCUGCUCCUCAUGGAAGGGAGCAGAAUCCAAAGGAAUGCCAGGUUUAGUGCAAUCCAUGAAAGCAAGGCUCCUCUGGGGCUUCAGGGAAUGGCUUUGGCAGAGUGUUUUUCUUUCUGACUUUUCCUCACUUUUCCUUUUUUUUUUUCUCCUCUUUGACUUCAGAUAUUGAAGGUUUCCUCCCCAGGAGUCUCCUGCUUUCUUAGGUGCACUCCUGUUCUUCCUGGAUUUUUUUAAUGUCCUUCUAACUCUCAAGACAAUUAUCCAUCCAGCCCUUCCCUCUUCCCAGCCUAAACAAACAUUGGUAGAACGAGUUUUCAAAGGAAUGAACACUGUCCAGGUCAACAUGAGUUCCCAAGGGAGACAUCCCUAACUGAGAGCUUGAUUAGGUGGAUUCCACAAAUCAGCAGAUAGAAAUCACAAAGAGGAAAUAAGUUGGUUUUUGUUUGUUUGUUUUUUUUUUUUUUUUUUGCAAGUGUUAACCUCUUUUAACUCAUUUAAAAUCCCAGGUGAGCCCUGCAUGGGGUUAAAAUGUCUUCUCUAUGUAGUCAGACCAUACAGAGGUCAAUUAUUCCAUCCAUGAGAUGAUGGUCCAGCUAUGAAGGUUUUGAGCUCCUGUGUUUCUCCUUGGGAAAAUGGUUCUACAGUGACACAGAUCUCAUAGUUAAGAUAUUCCUGAUAGCUGACUGUGUUUGGACCUGCACUGGGCUGCCUUUCCCAUUCUCUGUUUUCAUCUAGCUCAUGAACUCCCUGUCCACUGCUGUGUUUGUUACCUGCUUAAGAUAGGUACAACUGUUUAUGAGUGGUUUCCAAAAAGAGAAAACUCUUUGGGCUUUGUAAAUAUAUAUAUAUAUUUACAAACAUAUCUAUAUAUGUUGAAGAGGUGAUUGUUCUUUAAAUUCACCACAAACUCAGAAGGAUCCCUUGACUCAAAAAUGGAUUUUUGGAUAAAACACCAGAGAAGGGAGUAAUGAGAUGUGAAUCCUUGUCACACCAUUACCUUUCUGGAGUCACUGAACUUGACUGUGCUUUCUUCUCAGUGUAAAUGUUUACCUUGCUGUGCAUUGCUGACACAAUCACUGAAGCUAAGGGGAAAGGCCUCAUCACUUCUGCAAACUUGAGACCAAAGCCUGCCUUGUCCAACCUUGACAUCAGGGCUUCCACUGCACUCACCAGCCCAAGAAAUCAGGGCAGUCUCUGGCUAAAUGAAGUUUGUAAGUGUGUGAGGGGCUUUUUAUUCAGUCACUUCAAUGGGUGUUGGGAUGGAGCAGAGUUGAGCUAGUUUA